AGGACCACAGGGGAAUGCAGAACAUGCAUAAAAAAUAUUUACACCUAAGAAGAAUUCUGGGUUUACAAUGACUAUGUAAAGAAGUGCUUGGAGGGCAAAAGGUACAAAUAUGCUUAAAGGUUCUUAUGGGGCCUGACAGAGCUGCACAGACUGUGACCAUACUUUCCUGUGGAAGAAGAGAGUUAAAGUACAUGGUUGGACAACUGUUUCAGCUGCAGUCCCUCCUCCAUGAUUUGCCUCUGGAAGGAGACAGUUGCUUCAAGAGAUAUACAUGCAAUGCAUU